rnacentral:rRNA from 1 species
UACGGGGGGAGCAAGCGUUGUUCGGAUUUACUGGGCGUAAAGAGCGCGUAGGCGGCGCAACAAGUCACUUGUGAAAUCUCCGGGCUUAACCCGGAGCGGUCAAGUGAUACUGUCGUGCUAGAGUGCGGAAGGGGCUACUGGAAUUCUCGGUGUAGCGGUGAAAUGCGUAGAUAUCGAGAGGAACACCUGCGGCGAAGGCGGGUAGCUGGGCCGACACUGACGCUGAUGCGCGAAAGCCAGGGGAGCGAACGGG